AUUGAACGCUGGCGGCAGGCUUAACACAUGCAAGUCGAGCGGGGUGAUGGUGCUUGCACUAUCACUUAGCGGCGGACGGGUGAGUAAUGCUUAGGAAUCUGCCUAUUAGUGGGGGACAACAUCUCGAAAGGGAUGCUAAUACCGCAUACGUCCUACGGGAGAAAGCAGGGGAUCACUUGUGACCUUGCGCUAAUAGAUGAGCCUAAGUCGGAUUAGCUAGUUGGUGGGGUAAAGGCCUACCAAGGCGACGAUCUGUAGGGGGUCUGAGAGGAUGAUCCGCCACACUGGGACUGAGACACGGCCCAGACUCCUACGGGAGGCAGCAGUGGGGAAUAUUGGACAAUGGGGGGAACCCUGAUCCAGCCAUGCCGCGUGUGUGAAGAAGGCCUUAUGGUUGUAAAGCACUUUAAGCGAGGAGGAGGCUCCUUUGGUUAAUACCCAAGAUGAGUGGACGUUACUCGCAGAAUAAGCACCGGCUAACUCUGUGCCAGCCGCCGCAGUAA
rnacentral:rRNA from 1 species